AUUGAACGCUGGCGGCAGGCUUAACACAUGCAAGUCGAGCGAGCGGCGGACGGGUGAGUAAUGUAUGGGGACUGCCCGAUAGAGGGGGAUAACUACUGGAAACGGUGGCUAAUACCGUAUACUAUCGGACAAUCCAUAUGGGAGUAGCUAGUAGGUGGGGUAAAGGCUCACCUAGGCGACGAUCUCUAGCUGGUCUGAGAGGAUGGUCAGCCACACUGGGACUGAGACACGGCCCAGAGUCCUACGGAGGCAGCAGUGGGGAUUAUUGCACAAUGGGCGCAAGCCUGAUGCAGCCAUGCCGCGUGUAUGAAGAAGGCCUUAGGGUUGUAAAGUACUUUCAGCGGGGAGGCGUUACCCGCAGAAGAAGCAACGGCUAACUACGUGCCAGCAGCCGCGGUAAUAC
rnacentral:rRNA from 1 species